GAUGAAGAACGUAGCGAAAUGCGAUAAGUAGUGUGAAUUGCAGAAUUCAGUGAAUCAUCGAAUCUUUGAACGCACAUUGCGCCCCUUGGUAUUCCAUGGGGCAUGCCUGUUCGAGCGUCAUUUGUACCCUCAAGCUUUGCUUGGUGUUGGGUGUUUAUCCCGCGUUGCGCGUGGACUCGCCUUAAAGCGAUUGGCAGCCGGCAUAUUGGCCUUGGAGCGCAGCACAUUUUGCGCUUCUAGUCAUGAAUGUUGGCGUCCAUUAAGCCUAUACAUUUGCUCUUGACCUCGGAUCAGGUAGGGAUACCCGCUGAACUUAAGCAUAUCAAUAAGCGGAGGA
rnacentral:misc_RNA from 1 species